rnacentral:misc_RNA from 1 species
AACAAAAAUAAAUAUCUAAAUUAUAAAAAUUUAUUUAUAAUUUAGACUUUAAUUAGUUCAAGUUAUUCUAGUUAACUGUUCUUUACAAAUUGACGACUACAUGGUGUUCAUUCAGUUGGUAAAUUUUUUCGAAGUUUGCUUCAUGGCAUGCAAUAAAAUGAAAUUAAUUUAUUAAACUAAUAGUAAAUUAAUUAUUAUUUAAAUUAGU